CUUUCAUACUAACAGUUGUUGCUAUAAGUAUGGAGGAGAUGCACUGGACAAUGACAGACAUGCGAUCAGCUAUUAUUGUCUUGACUGUGGAUGUUUCAUUGACUAUCCUGGAGUUGAUGCAGGACGAAGCAAUAAGAAGCAGACAGAUUGAUUGAUCUGAUACGGAGGAGCACUGUAAGUACCUACCGGUGUACAAAGCUUGCCUGAGGUUUGUCAUGGCCUUCUCUCCAGCUACUCCGAAUAAGUAAUGUUGCAAAGUGUGGGCAAACAGAGAAAGCAGUCCUAUUGAGACUUAGGUUGGCACUUUCUACAGCCAUAUCCUGUCAAUUUGAUUUGUAUGUGAGGCUGGCGCAUGACGGAAAAGGGAUAAAGAAGAAGCUUUGCUCAUGUACUUCUCACUCAGGAUACUGUUCAUGCAGUCUCUGCUUGAAGAUUGUCUGAGUAAUUUUAGAUAAAGAUUAGUUUUUGAAGCAACUAAUUGUUGAUAUCCUAGUUGUUUUAGUAUCUUUAAAAUUUUGUUACACUUUAAGUAGCUUCUUUGAUGACUAGUAUCUGAGUUGUAGGAUUAUUAGGUCUUCAUUUCCUAUAUUAGUAAUUAACAACUCACUGUUGUUGUUUUGUUCGUUGUAGUCGUUAUUGUUGUUGUUGUUGUUGUUGUUGUUGUUAUUAUUCAUAAUUGACCUCUAACUUAAGGGUUUUGCUUAUAUAGAAACAUUCUAUUGAUUUUCCUUUACUUUCUGGCUAAAAAGUAAGCGCGAACUUAUUUCACAGUUCAUUAGUUGUUGGUUAUUCCAACUAAUGGAACUCUUUUUAAUUAGUUAUCGGUUGUUCCAACUAACUGAGGAUUCUCUCUGGAUGUGGCUUUGAGCUAUGGCGGUAUAAAAAUUAAUGUAAAUAUCAUUAGCAUUGGAUAAAAGAGGCUAGGUGCUAGAUUUCACUAAGUCUGGUAUGAAAUUUUGCUAUAUUAGUUGUGGGAAGUUAUAAGUUUUGUUUCAAUUGUGCAGGUUUAAGGCCAUUCCUAAUUGGAAAGUUUUUUUUUGUUCAAUUUCAUUUUGAAUCUUAGAUAUUCUACAAAAAACAAUUGGCCUUUUGGUGUUUCACAGUUUCUUAAAUGCCUCAGCUUUAACUCCUUGGAAAAUCUACUGGUUAUGAACAAGCAUGUAAAUUUAAGCCAGCCUUCUUCCUUUCUUCAACAAUAUCUCUUUUCCGGUGACUUUGACCAUAUUAUCUCCAUAUCUAAAAGAAUGGAAAUUUAAUAAUGUGUGUGAGGGGCACUGGUCUGACCUCUGUAUGAUAUUUAUGAGGGAGCUGUUGUAUAAAAGAAUGAGCAUUUGCCAAGGAUGCUGCUCUUUCAAUAUCCUCAUCAUCUGCAUCCAUUUUUCCUAUCUUGAUGUUGUCCUUAAUGCUGCCAGCAAAUAGUGAUGGUUCCUGGGAAACUAGUCCGAUAUUUCUCCUCAGAAACUUUAAAUCAAGAUCCUUGAUGUUAUGAUUGUCAAGGAGAAUAUCACCUGAGGGAUUUCAUACUGAGUUAGUGUUCUAACAUUCAUAUAUAAAUGAGGCAACUUUAUCUGACUAUGAAGAUUAUGUACAUUAAUAAGCUUCUGCAGGUAAGAGCUGAGAUUUCUAAUUAAUAGUGGAGGGAUGACGAACCUUUCUUUGCAUCAUAAAAUCUCAUCAAUAAUGAGAUGAUGGUGCUUUUACCACAACCACUACUUCCCACAAGUGCCACGACUUUUCCUGCUGGAAUGGACAAAGAAAACCCUUGAAGAACCAUCUUUUCGGGCCGCAAUGGGUAAGAAAAGUGUAUAUCCUCUAUACUGAUGUUUCCAUUAAUCACAUCCAGCGUCUUCCCUCUCGAGUCAGCACUGAUUGUUGGUUUUCUUUCGAUCAUCUGAAAAAUCUCCUUUCCUGCAGCUUUUGCUUGAUUGAAUAUUUGCAUAUCUGGUGCAGCAUAUGUGAGUGCUCUGAAAUUAAAAGAAAGAUAAUAAAACCAUCUUUUUUCUGACAGUAUUUUGAUUUCUUCUUCCUCUUUCUUCAUAGCAUGGUAGAUUCUAUUGUAAAAUAUGAUGUUUUGGCUCUUACAUUGCACCAAACAGAAUGCUCAUAACUGUAGCUAUGACAUCUCCGCCACUUGAUCUCCGAGCUGAUACAACAACAGCUCCCACCCACACAAUAAGAGCCCAUGAACUGAAAGUUACAGUCUGGAAAAUGCCCGUUCCAACACCCUUUAUAAAUGCUUCUUUCUUGCUUAGGUUCAUCUGUUUUCCGAUGCAGUCUAAGAACGACUUGAUUGAUGAAGUCUCUCCAACAAAAGCAAAAACGGUUUUGAUUUGAGAGAUUGUCUGUCAUGGAGCAGCAGAGGUGCAGUAUGAAUAAUCAUUCAGUAAUGUAUGCCAUUUUCAUGGCUGAAAUUGCACUCAUUUCUUUUGUAUAACUGGCGCCAAUUAAUAAGAUUAGUGGGACAACAAGUAAGGAUAGGAGUGACACUUCCCAGCUGGAUAUGAAUGCAAUCAGGACUCCGCAAAAGAAAGUUGAAAUGCUUGACAUAAAAUGUCCCAACUGUCAGGAAAGGAAACAUGUUUAGGUGUAAUUGAAUCGUUGCCAUUCGAGUGUUAAUAUUGGAUUGUAUUCAAGAUUUAGGAGAUAUCAAAUGUCUGAUUUGGUGAUGAGAUUUUUGUGACCAGGUCUUUCCAACUGCUUGUAGAUUGUUUUAGAACUCAAUUAACUUCAUACA